GUAAGGUUUGGUCCUGGCCUUAGUGUUAAUUGUAACUAGAAUUAUACAUGCAAGUUUCAGCCCUCCCGUGAGAAUGCCCUAAUUAUUCUAUUAAAUAACUAGGAGCAGGUAUCAGGCACACAUACACGUAGCCCAAGACAUCUUGCUAAGCCACUCCCCCAAGGGAUUUCAGCAGUAAUAAACAUUGACUUCAUAAGCGCAAGCUUGACUCAGUUAAAGUUAACAGAGUUGGUUAAUCUCGUGCCAGCCACCGCGGUUAUACGAGUAACUCACAUUAACACACCCCGGCGUAAAGAGUGAUUAAAGAAUGACCUCUAACCACUAAAGUUUAGACCUCAUAAAACUGUUAUACGUGUUCAUGAAUGGAAUAAACAACAACGAAAGUGACUUUACAAAUUAAGGAACCUUGAUGUCACGACAGUUGGGACCCAAACUAGGAUUAGAUACCCUACUAUGCCCAACCACAAACUUAGACAACACCCCACUAUAUUGUUCGCCAGAGUACUACAAGCGCUAGCUUAAAAACCCAAAGGACUUGGCGGUAUCCCAUACCCACCUAGAGGAGCCUGUUCUAUAACCGAUAAUCCCCGUUCAACCUCACCACUUCUUGCCAUUACCGUCUAUAUACCGCCGUCGUCAGCCCACCCUGUGAAGGACUAAAAGUAAGCAAAAAGAAUAAAACUCCAAAACGUCAGGUCGAGGUGUAGCAAAUGAAGUGGGAAGAAAUGGGCUACAUUUUUUUCCAAAAAUAUACGAAUGGUAAACUGAAAACACACCUAAAGGUGGAUUUAGCAGUAAGAGGAGAUCAGAAUACUCCCCUGAAAUCGGCUCUGGGAUAAGCACACACCGCCCGUCACUCUCCUCAAAAAAUAACUUACCCUUUUCCAUAAAUACAUUUCUUCAACAAGAGGAGGCAAGUCGUAACAUGGUAAGUGUACUGGAAAGUGCACUUGGAAUCAA
rnacentral:ncRNA from 1 species